CAGUAGCCGCGGUAAUACGUAGGGUGCAAGCGUUAAUCGGAAUUACUGGGCGUAAAGCGUGCGCAGGCGGUUAUAUAAGACAGAUGUGAAAUCCCCGGGCUCAACCUGGGAACUGCAUUUGUGACUGUAUAGCUAGAGUACGGCAGAGGGGGAUGGAAUUCCGCGUGUAGCAGUGAAAUGCGUAGAUAUGCGGAGGAACACCGAUGGCGAAGGCAAUCCCCUGGGCCUGUACUGACGCUCAUGCACCAAAGCGUGGGGAGCAAACAGGAUUAGAUACCCGAGUAGUCCCUGUCUCUUAUAC
rnacentral:rRNA from 1 species